rnacentral:rRNA from 1 species
AUUGAACGCUGGCGGCAUGCCUUACACAUGCAAGUCGAACGGCAGCACGGGUGCUUGCACCUGGUGGCGAGUGGCGAACGGGUGAGUAAUACAUCGGAACGUACCUUAUCGUGGGGGAUAACGCAGCGAAAGUUGUGCUAAUACCGCAUACGCCCUGAGGGGGAAAGCGGGGGAUCGAAAGACCUCCGGCGAUUAGAGCGGCCGAUGCCUGAUUAGCUUGUUGGUGGGGUAAAAGCCCACCAAGGCGACGAUCAGUAGCUGGUCUGAGAGGACGAUCAGACACACUGGGACUGAGACACGGCCCAGACUCCUACGGGAGGCAGCAGUGGGGAAUUUUGGACAAUGGGGGCAACCCUGAUCCAGCAAUGCCGCGUGAGUGAAGAAGGCCUUCGGGUUGUAAAGCUCUUUUGUCAGGGGAGAAACACCGGCUCUAACACAGUCCGGGAAUGACGGUACCUGAAGAAUAAGCACCGGCUAACUACGUGCCAGCAGCCGCCGCCG